rnacentral:lncRNA from 1 species
GUACAAUUGGGCCAUUGUUGUCAUGGCCUUUGUUGACUUACCCAUGGGUGAGGAGCAUAAUUGGGCCACUGUCAUCAUGACCUUUGCUCAACUUGUGUGUGAGCAAAGAGUGCCAUUGGGCCACUGUCACCAUGGCCUCCGCUCGACUUGCCCAUGAGUAAGGAGUGCCAUUGGGCUGUUGUCAUUGUGGCCUCCACUCGACUUAUCCGU